GUGCCAAAACAUAAUGAGUAAGGAAAACCAAUAGGCCUUGCUAAUCGCUUGGCAGCUUGGCUUCUAGGCAGAGGGACAUCCAACCGGCAGCCCAGCGCUGCCGGCGUUCCUUGAAGCUCAAUUUUUGAUAGGGCACAGGUCGUCCCCGGCGAAUGCAGAGCGGCGGACCGGCGCCUACUUUGUGUCCGGUUUGCUGCUGGCAUUUUGGGUGAAGCGAUCUGCCCG